GCCCUUGUGGCCUAAUUGGUUAAGGUGUUAUCCUCCGGUAAGAUAAUGAUUGCGGGUUCGAGUCCCGCCUCGGGCU
rnacentral:tRNA from 1 species